rnacentral:tRNA from 31 species
GUCGGGAUAGCUCAGCUGGUAG